CCGACCUUUGAGCCGCAGUCACAAAUUAGCUGCCGUUCCACGACGAUUCAUUUAUCAAGGCAAGGACAUGAGAAAUAAGCAAGUUUGUAAAUAUAUUCGUAACAUUUUCGCUAACACAAGCACUUCUAAAAACAAAGAGAAGUAAAAAUCUUCUACCAUUCACUAGAUGGACUCCGGAGCCAUUAGUCAUGUUAUAUUUAAACUGAAAUUUGUUUUCAACACGACAACGCAUGAAAAUGCACUUAAUAUGUAUGCAAUAUAUCUUUUAAUCACAAUUUCAAUUAUUUCGAAGCUGUUUAAUAUUAAAUCGUAUAAUUAAGAUUUAUUAUUUUCAUGAAAACCGGAAACUAACAAUUAAAUUAAAAUUUUAAUGA